rnacentral:tRNA from 1 species
UUUAGUGUAGCUUAAGUUAAAGCACAGAAUUCUUACUUCUGGAAUGUAUGUAUUUAUCACUAAUA